rnacentral:tRNA from 5 species
GUCCCUGUAGCUCAGCAGGAUAGAGCGACUGCCUCCUAAGCAGUAGGUCGGAGGUUCGAAUCCUCUCAGGGACG